rnacentral:rRNA from 1 species
ACGGGGUGCAGCAGGCGCGAAACCUCCGCAAUGUGAGAAAUCGCGACGGGGGGAUCCCAAGUGCCAUUCUUAACGGGAUGGCUUUUCAUUAGUGUAAAGAGCUUUUGGAAUAAGAGCUGGGCAAGACCGGUGCCAGCCGCCGCGGUAAU